GUGGGGAAUAUUGGACAAUGGGCGAAAGCCUGAUCCAGCCAUGCCGCGUGUGUGAAGAAGGUCUUCGGAUUGUAAAGCACUUUAAGUUGGGAGGAAGGGCAGUAAGUUAAUACCUUGCUGCUUUGACGUUACCGACAGAAUAAGAACCGGCUAACUUCGUGCCAGCAGCCGCGGUAAUACGAAGGGUGCAAGCGUUAAUCGGAAUUACUGGGCGUAAAGCGCGCGUAGGUGGUUUUGUAAGUUGGAGGUGAAAGCCCCGGGCUCAAGCUGGGAACUGCCUCAAAAACUGCAUAACUAGUGUACGGUAGAGGGUAGUUGAAUUUCCUGUGUAGCGGGGAAAUGCGUAGAUAUAGGAAGGAACACCAGUGGCGAGGGCGACUACCUGGACUGAUACUGACACUGUGGUGCGAAAGCGUGGGGAGCAAACAGGAUUAGAUACCCUGGUAGUCC
rnacentral:rRNA from 1 species